rnacentral:rRNA from 1 species
CCCUACGGGGGGCAGCAGUGAGGAAUAUUGGUCAAUGGGCUUACGCCUGAACCAGCCAAGUCGCGUGAGGGAAGACUGCCCUAUGGGUUGUAAACCUCUUUUGUCAGGGAGCAACGCCGGCUACGUGUAGCCGGACUGAGAGUACCUGAAGAAAAAGCAUCGGCUAACUCCGUGCCAGCAGCCGCGGUAAUACGGAGGAUGCGAGCGUUAUCCGGAUUUAUUGGGUUUAAAGGGUGCGUAGGCGGAAUGCCAAGUCAGCGGUAAAAUCGCGGGGCUCAACCUCGCUCUGCCGUUGAAACUGGCGU